rfam:Candidatus Phaeomarinobacter ectocarpi complete genome
GAUCAAGCGUUAAAAGGGCAUCUGGUGGAUGCCUCGGCGCUGAGAGGCGAUGAAGGACGUGGCACUCUGCGAUAAGCUAUGGGGAGGUGAGAGCAACCUUUGAUCCGUAGAUUUCCGAAUGGGGAAACCCACACCGUAAGGUGUAUCCCGAAAGGGAGGCGAACCCGGGGAACUGAAACAUCUAAGUACCCGGAGGAAAGGACAUCAACCGAGACUCCGUUAGUAGUGGCGAGCGAACGCGGACCAGGCCUGUGAUAUUUCUGUAAGAACUGGAAGCUUCUGGAAAGUUGCGCCGCAGCGGGUGAUAGCCCCGUACAGGUAGAAAACAGAUUUAUCCUCGAGUAGGGCGGGACACGUGAAAUCCUGUCUGAACGUGGGGGGACCACCCUCCAAGCCUAAGUACUCCUCAGCGACCGAUAGUGAACCAGUACCGUGAGGGAAAGGUGAAAAGCACCCCGACAAGGGGAGUGAAACAGAUCCUGAAACCGGAUGCCUACAAGCAGUUGGAGCCCAAGGUCCGUCCUGGGUGACAGCGUACCUCUUGCAUAAUGGGUCAGCGACUUAAUCUGGCAAGCAAGCUUAAGCCGAUAGGUGUAGGCGCAGCGAAAGCAAGUCUUAAUAGGGCGAAUGAGUUUGUCGGAUUAGACCCGAAACCAGGUGAUCUAGAUAUGAGCAGGUUGAAGGUGCAGUAACAUGCACUGGAGGACCGAACCCACGUAUGUUGAAAAAUGCGGGGAUGACUUGUGUCUAGGGGUGAAAGGCCAAUCAAACCUGGAAAUAGCUGGUUCUCCGCGAAAUCUAUUUAGGUAGAGCGUCGCGAUUAAUACCCUCGGGGGUAGAGCACUGGAUGGGCUAGGGGGACUCACCGUCUUACCAAACCUAACCAAACUCCGAAUACCGAGGAGUACUGCGCGGCAGACACACUGCGGGUGCUAAGGUCCGUAGUGAAAAGGGAAACAGCCCUGACCGCCAGUUAAGGUCCCUAAGUAAUGGCUAAGUGGGAAAGGAUGUGGGAGUGCAGUGACAAUCAGGAGGUUGGCUUAGAAGCAGCCACCCUUUAAAGAAAGCGUAACAGCUCACUGAUCAAGCGCUCCUGCGCCGAAGAUGUACCGGGGCUUAAGCCAUUCACCGAAACUGCGGGUGUACAUUUCUUUCGGGAUUUGUACGCGGUAGCGGAGCGUUCCGUAAGUCUGUGAAGGGUGACCCGCGAGGGCACCUGGAGAUAUCGGAAGUGAGAAUGCUGACAUGAGUAGCGAUAAAGAGGGUGAGAGACCCUCUCGCCGAAAGUCCAAGGGUUCCUGCGUAAAGCUAAUCUGCGCAGGGUUAGCCGGCCCCUAAGGCGAGGCAGAAAUGCGUAGUCGAUGGGAACCAGGUCAAUAUUCCUGGGCCGGGAGGUGGUGACGAAUUCCGUAUAUGGUUAGUCCUUAUUGGAUUGGACUAGCUGAGAAGGAGUUCCAGGAAAUAGCCCCUCCAUAACGACCGUACCCUAAACCGACACAGGUGGACAGGUAGAGUAUACUAAGGCGCUUGAGAGAACGAUGCUGAAGGAACUCGGCAAAUUGCCCUCGUAACUUCGGGAGAAGAGGGCCCUAUACUUGGGCAACCAGGUAUAGGGGGCACAGACCAGGGGGUAGCGACUGUUUACUAAAAACACAGGGCUCUGCGAAGUCGCAAGACGACGUAUAGGGUCUGACGCCUGCCCGGUGCCGGAAGGUUAAGAGGAGAGGUGAGAGCUUUGAAUCGAAGCCCCGGUAAACGGCGGCCGUAACUAUAACGGUCCUAAGGUAGCGAAAUUCCUUGUCGGGUAAGUUCCGACCUGCACGAAUGGCGUAACGACUUCCCCACUGUCUCCAGCAUCGACUCAGCGAAAUUGAAUUGCCCGUGAAGAUGCGGGCUACCCGCGGUUAGACGGAAAGACCCCGUGCACCUUUACUACAGCUUUACAUUGGCAUUAGUGACGACAUGUGUAGGAUAGGUGGUAGACUUUGAAGCCCGGGCGCCAGCUCGAGUGGAGUCACCCUUGAAAUACCACCCUUGUCCUUAUUGAUGUCUAACCACGGCGCUACAACGCCUGGGACAAUGUAUGGUGGGUAGUUUGACUGGGGCGGUCGCCUCCCAAAGAGUAACGGAGGCGCGCGAUGGUGGGCUCAGACCGGUCGGAAAUCGGUUGUUGAGUGCAAUGGCAUAAGCCUGCCUGACUGCGAGGUUGACAAACCGAGCAGAGACGAAAGUCGGUCAUAGUGAUCCGGUGGUCCCGCGUGGAAGGGCCAUCGCUCAACGGAUAAAAGGUACGCCGGGGAUAACAGGCUGAUGACCCCCAAGAGUCCAUAUCGACGGGGUUGUUUGGCACCUCGAUGUCGGCUCAUCUCAUCCUGGGGCUGGAGCAGGUCCCAAGGGUUUGGCUGUUCGCCAAUUAAAGAGGUACGUGAGCUGGGUUUAGAACGUCGUGAGACAGUUCGGUCCCUAUCUGCCGUGGGUGUAGGAGAAUUGAGAGGAUCUGUCCCUAGUACGAGAGGACCGGGAUGGACAUACCUCUGGUGGACCGGUUGUUGCGCCAGCAGCAUAGCCGGGUAGCUAUGUAUGGUCGGGAUAAACGCUGAAAGCAUCUAAGCGUGAAACCCACCUCGAAACGAGUUCUCCCUUGAGAGCCGUGGAAGACCACCACGUUGAUAGGCUCGGUGUGGAAGCGCGGUAACGCGUGAAGCUAACGAGUACUAAUCGCUCGAUCGGUUUGAUCGU